GACGAACGCUGGCGGCGUGCUUAACACAUGCAAGUCGAACGGAAAGGCCCUGCUUUUGUGGGGUGCUCGAGUGGCGAACGGGUGAGUAACACGUGAGUAACCUGCCCUUGACUUUGGGAUAACUUCAGGAAACUGGGGCUAAUACCGGAUAGGAGCUCCUGCUGCAUGGUGGGGGUUGGAAAGUUUCGGCGGUUGGGGAUGGACUCGCGGCUUAUCAGCUUGUUGGUGGGGUAGUGGCUUACCAAGGCUUUGACGGGUAGCCGGCCUGAGAGGGUGACCGGCCACAUUGGUACUGAGAUACGGCGCAGACUCCUACGGGAGGCAGCAGUGGGGAGUAUUGCACAAUGGGCGGAAGCCUGAUGCAGCAACGCCGCGUGCGGGAUGACGGCCUUCGGGUUGUAAACCGCUUUCGCCUGUGACGAAGCGUGAGUGACGGUAAUGGGUAAAGAAGCACCGGCUAACUACGUG
rnacentral:rRNA from 1 species